GAUGAACGCUGGCGGCGUGCUUAACACAUGCAAGUCGAACGAACCUUCGGGUUAGUGGCGGACGGGUGAGUAACGCGUGGGAAUCUGCCCUCAGGAGGGGGAUAACGGUUGGAAACGGCCGCUAAUACCCCAUAUGCCGAGAGGUGAAAUGAAUUUCGCCUGAGGAUGAGCCCGCGUCUGAUUAGCUAGUUGGUGAGGUAAGAGCUCACCAAGGCAUCGAUCAGUAGCUGGUCUGAGAGGAUGAUCAGCCACACUGGGACUGAGACACGGCCCAGACUCCUACGGGAGGCAGCAGUGGGGAAUUUUCCGCAAUGGGCGAAAGCCUGACGGAGCAACGCCGCGUGAGGGAUGAAGGCCUCUGGGCUGUAAACCUCUUUUAUCAAGGAAGAAGAUCUGACGGCACUUGAUGAAUAAGCCACGGCUAAUUCCGUGCCAGCAGCCGCGGUAAUACGGGAGUGGCAAGCGUUAUCCGGAAUUAUUGGGCGUAAAGCGUCCGCAGGCGGCCCUACAAGUCUGCUGUUAAAAAGUGGAGCUUAACUCCAUCAUGGCAGUGGAAACUGUUGGGCUUGAGUGUGGUAGGGGCAGAGGGAAUUCCCGGUGUAGCGGUGAAAUGCGUAGAUAUCGGGAAGAACACCAGUGGCGAAGGCGCUCUGCUGGGCCAUCACUGACGCUCAUGGACGAAAGCCAGGGGAGCGAAAGGGAUUAGAUACCCCUGUAGUCCUGGCCGUAAACGAUGAACACUAGGUGUCGGGGGAAUCGACCCCUCCGGUGUCGUAGCCAACGCGUUAAGUGUUCCGCCUGGGGAGUACGCACGCAAGUGUGAAACUCAAAGGAAUUGACGGGGGCCCGCACAAGCGGUGGAGUAUGUGGUUUAAUUCGAUGCAACGCGAAGAACCUUACCAGGGUUUGACAUCCUGCGAAUCUCUUGGAAACUUGAGAGUGCCUUCGGGAGCGCAGUGACAGGUGGUGCAUGGCUGUCGUCAGCUCGUGUCGUGAGAUGUUGGGUUAAGUCCCGCAACGAGCGCAACCCACGUCUUUAGUUGCCAGCAUUUAGUUGGGCACUCUAGAGAGACCGCCGGUGAUAAACCGGAGGAAGGUGUGGAUGACGUCAAGUCAUCAUGCCCCUUACAUCCUGGGCUACACACGUACUACAAUGCUACGGACAAAGGGCAGCAAGUUCGCGAGGACAAGCAAAUCCCAUAAACCGUGGCUCAGUUCAGAUCGUAGGCUGCAACUCGCCUACGUGAAGGAGGAAUCGCUAGUAAUCGCAGGUCAGCAUACUGCGGUGAAUACGUUCCCGGGCCUUGUACACACCGCCCGUCACACCAUGGAAGUUGGCCACGCCCGAAGCCGUUACUCCAACCCUUGUGGAGGAGGACGUCGAAGGUGGGGCUGAUGACUGGGGUGAAGUCGUAACAAGGUAGCCGUACCGGAAGGUGCGGCUGGAUCACCUCCU
rnacentral:rRNA from 1 species